rnacentral:rRNA from 1 species
AGUCGACGAUGAAGCCUUUCGGGGUGGAUUAGUGGCGAACGGGUGAGUAACACGUGGGCAAUCUGCCCUUCACUCUGGGACAAGCCCUGGAAACGGGGUCUAAUACCGGAUAACACUCUGUCCCGCAUGGGACGGGGUUAAAAGCUCCGGCGGUGAAGGAUGAGCCCGCGGCCUAUCAGCUUGUUGGUGGGGUAAUGGCCUACCAAGGCGACGACGGGUAGCCGGCCUGAGAGGGCGACCGGCCACACUGGGACUGAGACACGGCCCAGACUCCUACGGGAGGCAGCAGUGGGGAAUAUUGCACAAUGGGCGAAAGCCUGAUGCAGCGACGCCGCGUGAGGGAUGACGGCCUUCGGGUUGUAAACCUCUUUCAGCAGGGAAGAAGCGAAAGUGACGGUACCUGCAGAAGAAGCGCCGGCUAACUACGUGCCAGCAGCCGCGGUAAUACGUAGGGCGCAAGCGUUGUCCGGAAUUAUUGGGCGUAAAGAGCUCGUAGGCGGCUUGUCACGUCGGAUGUGAAAGCCCGGGGCUUAACCCCGGGUCUGCAUUCGAUACGGGCUAGCUAGAGUGUGGUAGG